rnacentral:rRNA from 1 species
GGACUACCGGGGUUUCUAAUCCUGUUUGCUCCCCACGCUUUCGCACCUCAGCGUCAAUACCUGUCCAGUGAGCCGCCUUCGCCACUGGUGUUCUUCCGAAUAUCUACGAAUUUCACCUCUACACUCGGAAUUCCACUCACCUCUCCAGGAUUCUAGCUACCUAGUUUCAAAGGCAAUUCCGGGGUUGAGCCCCGGGCUUUCACCUCUGACUUGAAUAGCCGCCUACGUGCGCUUUACGCCCAGUAAUUCCGAACAACGCUAGCUCCCUCCGUAUUACCGCGGCGGCUGGCAC